CGGGUGAGUAACACGUGAAUAACCUGCCCUUGACUUCGGGAUAAGCCUGGGAAACUGGGUCUAAUACUGGAUACGACCUAUCACCGCAUGGUGUGUGGGUGGAAAGAUUUUUUGGUUUUGGAUGGACUCGCGGCCUAUCAGCUUGUUGGUGAGGUAAUGGCUUACCAAGGCGACGACGGGUAGCCGGCCUGAGAGGGUGACCGGCCACACUGGGACUGAGACACGGCCCAGACUCCUACGGGAGGCAGCAGUGGGGAAUAUUGCACAAUGGGCGAAAGCCUGAUGCAGCGACGCCGCGUGAGGGAUGACGGCCUUCGGGUUGUAAACCUCUUUCAGUAGGGAACAAGGCAUCAUUUUUGUGGUGUUGAGGGUACCUGCAGAAGAAGCACCGGCUAACUACGUGCCAGCAGCCGCGGUAAUACGUAGGGUGCAAGCGUUAUCCGGAAUUAUUGGGCGUAAAGAGCUCGUAGGCGGUUUGUCGCGUCUGUCGUGAAAGUCCGGGGCUCAACUCCGGAUCUGCGGUGGGUACGGGCAGACUAGAGUGAUGUAGGGGAGACUGGAAUUCCUGGUGUAGCGGUGGAAUGCGCAGAUAUCAGGAGGAACACCGAUGGCGAAGGCAGGUCUCUGGGCAUUAACUGACGCUGAGGAGCGAAAGCAUGGGGAGCGAACAGGAUUAGAUACCCUGGUAGUCCAUGCCGUACACGUUGGGCACUAGGUGUGGGGGACAUUCCACGUUCUCCGCGCC
rnacentral:rRNA from 1 species